rnacentral:ncRNA from 2 species
UUCUUAUCUAGAGAGGUGGAGGGACUGGCCCUUUGAAACCUCGGCAGCGGACUUUUUAAGUACUGUGCCAAUUCCAGUAGUAGCGAUACUACAAAGAUGAGAA